rnacentral:rRNA from 1 species
AGCUCCAAUAGCGUAUAUUAAAGUUGUUGCAGUUAAAAAGCUCGUAGUUGGAUCUCGGGUCCGGACUGGCGGUCCCGUUCACGCGGGUACUGCUUGUUCCGACCCCCCUGCCGGUGCGCCCUCGGUGCUCUUCACUGAGUGCCCCGGGUUGCCGGCACGUUUACUUUGAAAAAAUUAGAGUGUUCAAAGCAGGCGUCCUCGCCUGGAUAUUCAUGCAUGGAAUAAUGGAAUAGGACCCCGGUUCUAUUUUGUUGGUUUUCGGAACCAGGGGUAAUGAUUAAGAGGGACGGCCGGGGGCAUUGGUAUUACGGUGUUAGAGGUGAAAUUCUUGGAUCGCCGUAAGACUGUCGACAGCGAAAGCAUUUGCCAAGAAUGUUUUCA